ensembl:lncRNA
GGCAAAUAGAGAUAGUUUAUGUAGAGAGUAUUAGAAAACAAGAAAUUCCAAGCACUUUCACAGGCGCUAGGUCCGGAAUAACAAGGAGAAUGAAGGCCAUAAAGAUAAGGACCGGAGAACAGCUUGAAAACAUUUGGCAGGCAGGUGACUAGAUGUCUGAAGUGCAAGCUGAAACCAGUUUGGGGGAUGCCCCCCCUUCGGGGUCAGAAGUUUGCAGCGAGGAAGACUAUGAGCCUUCGUGAGGAAGACUGCAAGCCUUCAUCAUCACGACCUACUACGCACUUUCACAGGCGCUAGGUCCGGAAUAACAAGGAGAAUGAAGGCCAUAAAGAUAAGGACCGGAGAACAGCUUGAAAACAUUUGGCA